AUUGAACGCUGGCGGCAUGCCUUACACAUGCAAGUCGAACGGCAGCACGGGAGCUUGCUCCUGGUGGCGAGUGGCGAACGGGUGAGUAAUGCAUCGGAGCGUGCCCUGAAGUGGGGGAUAACGUAGCGAAAGUUACGCUAAUACCGCAUAUUCUGUGAGCAGGAAAGCAGGGGAUCUUCGGACCUUGCGCUUUUGGAGCGGCCGAUGUCGGAUUAGCUAGUUGGUGGGGUAAAGGCCCACCAAGGCGACGAUCCGUAGCGGGUCUGAGAGGAUGAUCCGCCACACUGGAACUGAGACACGGUCCAGACUCCUACGGGAGGCAGCAGUGGGGAAUUUUGGACAAUGGGCGCAAGCCUGAUCCAGCCAUGCCGCGUGAGUGAAGAAGGCCU
rnacentral:rRNA from 1 species